CUAGCGGCGGACGGGUGAGUAAUGCUUAGGAAUCUGCCUAUUAGUGGGGGACAACAUCUCGAAAGGGAUGCUAAUACCGCAUACGUCCUACGGGAGAAAGCAGGGGACCUUCGGGCCUUGCGCUAAUAGAUGAGCCUAAGUCGGAUUAGCUAGUUGGUGGGGUAAAGGCCUACCAAGGCGACGAUCUGUAGCGGGUCUGAGAGGAUGAUCCGCCACACUGGGACUGAGACACGGCCCAGACUCCUACGGGAGGCAGCAGUGGGGAAUAUUGGACAAUGGGGGGAACCCUGAUCCAGCCAUGCCGCGUGUGUGAAGAAGGCCUUUUGGUUGUAAAGCACUUUAAGCGAGGAGGAGGCUACCGAGAUUAAUACUCUUGGAUAGUGGACGUUACUCGCAGAAUAAGCACCGGCUAACUCUGUGCCAGCAGCCGCGGUAAUACAGAGGGUGCAAGCGUUAAUCGGAUUUACUGGGCGUAAAGCGCGCGUAGGUGGCCAAUUAAGUCAAAUGUGAAAUCCCCGAGCUUAACUUGGGAAUUGCAUUCGAUACUGGUUGGCUAGAGUAUGGGAGAGGAUGGUAGAAUUCCAGGUGUAGCGGUGAAAUGCGUAGAGAUCUGGAGGAAUACCGAUGGCGAAGGCAGCCAUCUGGCCUAAUACUGACACUGAGGUGCGAAAGCAUGGGGAGCAAACAGGAUUAGAUACCCUGGUAGUCCAUGCCGUAAACGAUGUCUACUAGCCGUUGGGGCCUUUGAGGCUUUAGUGGCGCAGCUAACGCGAUAAGUAGACCGCCU
rnacentral:rRNA from 1 species